UUUUCAUGGUUGUCGAGGGGAAUGACGCCGGGUCUGAAAGAAAGAAGGGGGCACGCCGGGAAUGACAGCGGUUCCCUAGCUCUUUCGGACCAGGCUUCAUUCCCCAUGACUCGACCAUGG